AUAAUUAUAUAGUAAUUAAUAUUUAAAUUUAAUAGUACUUUAUGCAAAAAAUUUAAUAUACAAUUGCAGAAGAUUAAUUUUGUAAAUUUAUAUAAUAAAGACUUUUAUUAAUUUCCGGCAAGUCUGUGCCAGCAGCCGCGGUAAUACAGGCGGAGAAAAAAUAUUUAUUUAAAAUUAAUAUAAAAUGAAAAUUAGAGUAAGUUACAAAGAGGUGAAAUUUUUGUAAUAAGAAAAUAUUUAGAAUUAUAUGAAUAUGAGUUUUUAAACCAGGAUUAGAUACCCUGUUAUUAUUUAUAAAUAUAGUGAGUAUAAUAAUUGUUAUAAAGCUAAGUAUAAUGGCAGUAUAUUAAUCUUUUUAGAGGAAUUUAUUCUAUUAUCGAUAUAACACGAAUAUCUUACUUAUUAUUGUUAAUACAGUUUGUAUAUCGCUAUCAUACAAUUAUAUAGAUUUAUGAUGAUUUUAAUUUAUUUUUUUAAAAAAUGUUAGGUCAAAAUGCAGCAUAAAAAUAAGGUUGAAAUGAAUUACUGUAAUUUAUAUUAGUUUUUAUUGAAAAUAUAAUUAGGAUUUAAUAGUAAAGUAAAAUUAUGAUGUUUACUUGAAUAUAGUUUUAGUAUAUGUACAUAUUGCCCGUCACUCUCAUUUUUGAGAAAAGUCGUAACAAAGUAAAUCUACCGGAAGGUGGCUU
rnacentral:ncRNA from 1 species